AAGGAACCCACUCCCUGCGGUGGGCAAUUUCUGGGGUGUGAGUCAAGCUCUCGGUCACACCACUUCACCCUCACACCUCCCACCCUUCUCCUCCUUAGCAGCGGGAACUUUGGGCUAAUUAUAGAAGUGAACUAGUUACCAGGGGCAGCUGACUCCACAUAGUAUAAUCUGUGAAACACGGGCUGGCACGCUGCAGGCCCCCUUCCUCGAGGGCUGGGGAAGCUGCAGGCUGUGGGGUGAUCCUGGGAGGGCCCUGGCUACUCUGUGACAGUCCCCCCAUUCUCACCUCCUCCCCCGUCUUGGCUCAGCUGGUGAAGCUACAGAGAGGCCUAGGGCAUAAGCUUGAUGCUGGGGAGGCCAUUUAGCUAUUCUUGGGUGCAAUGUGGCGAUCUCAGGUGGUCCUCUAGUAGUCAAGGUGUUCCAGCUUUUUCCUAGCCCAGGCCUGGGGAGCGCCUGGCACUGGUCUCACCUCUCCUCUGCUGAUGCCCUCGGAGACGGGGCCGGGAAGCUUUCCCUGGAUCCCAGCUGGGCCUCGGACUCCUUCUCAACACUUUCCCAGGCAGCCUCUGCUGAUUGAUCAGGGCUGGCAUUUGAGAUGAAAGCGAUUUGCCAGCCCUGCCUUAAAUCUUCCAACUCUGAAAGAAUCCAAGAAAAAUGUUAGCCCUGGUGUGAAGCAACCCGUAGCUGUACAGAGGGAACCCCUUGGCAAUGGGUGGGCGACCUUCUCCUUCGGAGCAGGCUUGAGCCCUGAGUAGAGAGAGAAGAGGAGGGACGCUAAAGAAGAAGUGUGACAGCAUCGUCUCCCCCGAGGCUCCUGGUCUGCUGCCGGGGUUCUCUGCUUCCUCCAACCCCGUCAAUCCUCUGAUUGCCUGCUCCCAAGUUAAGUUGCCCUUUGAGGGAGGAGCACCGCAGAGGCCACAGUGGCCGAGGGUCAAGCCCCAGCUCGGCCACCUAAGUAACUCAGACAGUUACUGAGUGUCUCUGGUCCUCCGCUUUCUCGAAUCUGUAGAAGGAGGGUAACAUUUCCUGCCUUGAAGUUAUGCUGUGAAGAAUAGAUGCCCCAGUCGAUGAUAUUUAAUUGAUGCUAGGAGUAAUCCUUUGAGGUCACAGUUAAAUUGUCAGUAUUUCAAAAAUUCUUAGUGGUACCUAAAAUACAAGGGCCCCACGAUGGGCAGGGAUCUCCGACUUCCUGGAAUAUGGUGUGUACAUUUAGAACCGUGCCUGGCACGUAGUAAAUGCUAACAAACGUUAGCUGUUAUUAUUUCCAUAUAAAUCAGGGAAAGUGCAGAUCUUGUUCUGUUGCCCUCUCCCUACCCGCCAUUCAAAUAAGGCAAAUAAAACUCACUGAAAACAGAA